GGCUCCGUAGUUCAACUGGAUAGAAUAUCUGACUUCGGAUCAGAGGGUUGGGGGUUCGAGUCCCUCCGGAGUCA
rnacentral:tRNA from 1 species